rnacentral:rRNA from 1 species
CCUACGGGAGGCAGCAGUGAGGAAUAUUGGUCAAUGGGCGCGAGCCUGAACCAGCCAAGUAGCGUGAAGGAUGACUGCCCUACGGGUUGUAAACUUCUUUUAUAAAGGAGUAAAGUGAGGCACGUGUGCCUUUUUGUAUGUACUUUAUGAAUAAGGAUCGGCAAACUCCGUGCCAGAAGCCGCGGUAAUACGGAGGAUCCGAGCGUUAUCCGGAUUUAUUGGGUUUAAAGGGAGCGUAGAUGGGUUGUUAAGUCAGUUGUGAAAGUUUGCGGCUCAACCGUAAAAUUGCAAUUGAUACUGGCAGCCUUGAGUGCAGUUGAGGUAGGCGGAAUUCGUGGUGUAGCGGUGAAAUGCUUAGAUAUCACGAAGAACUCCGAUUGCGAAGGCAGCCUACUAAUCUGCCACUGACAUUGAUGCUCGAAAGUGUGGGUAUCAAACAGGAUUAGAUACCCCAGUAGUC